UGAUACAUGUCACUGCUCCUCAGUACAAAAACCUCCUUGCUCACAUCCCCUUACACCUGGAAUAAGCCAUUCAAACCAAUAUUGGUCUUCCCUCUGGCAAAGAUCAGAUAUUAUGAUGAAAGCUUCUCUAUAUGCAGCUACCAGUGCCACAUACUGUUAGAAACAGCAGCCCCAGACAUCACAUUUGUCUGCAGAGUCUCGUUGAACAGGGUCAUUAUGAAGACUUAUGAAGACUUCUCACAUAUAUCACAUCAACCUGCUGAGUUUUUGUAGCUACUGACUGCCAAUAGCUCAUAAUCUAAAAAACACAUGAACCUUUGUGUACUUUAAUUGGCAUUAGAGGCAGGGCUGUCCACUCGUCUAAAUUUGCAUUACUUGAACUUUCUAUUAUUGUCAAAUUUGUGAACAGAUUCCUUUGACUAAACAACAAGUUGCUGGUGUUUCAACAAUCUAACAACUUAUACUAUAUUAUCAUAACACUUAGUAGUUAAAUGCAAUUUUCUUUACAAAUAGACUGUUUGGUGCAAAAGCUUGUAGGGAUUAUAACAAGGCUUUGUUGUUUUGCUUCCUCUCAUGAGGUGGGAGUAUAUCUUUACUGAGCCGUGGUGUGUGGCGGUAGCUGACGUGAUGGUGUUAUUGUUUAGAGGAGGAGGAAGCACCAUGACAUCACCCACCUUAAAAGGUUGUGUGUGUUUUUUCCUCACAUAAAGAGGUGGAAAUAAAGCAUACCAGCGUAUACUGUGAUGAAAACACAACCAAUAACUAACCUGAUCUGAAGUUUAGUCAGACCAGAAGACACAUCAUGAUAAUUAUUUUCUGUAUAACCUUUAAUGCUGUACUGGUUUCAGGUUCCUCACUCAGCAACAAAGUCCAACAGACUCCUACUGACAUGUACGCUGAAACUGGAAAAACAGCCAAUAUCAGCUGUUCACACAAUGUUCAGGGCUAUACCCGAAUCCUCUGGUACAAACAGUCAAAGAACAAACAAAUGCAGCUCCUGGGAUACAUGUAUGUUGGCUCCAAAGUCUACCAGACUCCAGCUGACAUAUACAGCAAACCUGAAGAAACAGCCAAAAUCAACUGUUCACACAGUGUUCAGAGCUACAAUCAAAUCCUCUGGUACAAGCAAACAAAGAAUAGCCAACUACAGCUCCUGGGAUACAUGUAUGUUGGUAGGGGUACUCCUGAGGCUGGACUGAGUGUGAAGAUAGAUGGGGGUGCAGAUAAAGACCAAAUCUGCACGUUAACAAUUGAAGGACUCAGCCUGAACAGCAGUGCAGUGUACUUCUGUGCUGCCAGAUACUCAUCAUGUCUGCUGCGGCUGCAUCUGAUGUUAGCAGGAUCACUAUGAUGACACAAGCUCUAUUCAUAUUUGUAGUCUCGGCUCUGUGGCUUCAAGGUCACUGCCAGGAUGUGAUCCAAGACCCUAAAAUCAGCUGGAGGUAUGCUUCCCAAACUGCAGAGAUGAACUGCAGCCACAAAAAAAAAUGCUGGUCAUACCCAGAUGUACUGGUACAGACAGCGUCCAGGGGAGACCAUGAGCCGCAUUGUCUACACAGUUUGGGGUGGACAACCAGACUAUGGUGGCGUCCCUCAAACUAAAUAUGCAGCUAUCAAAGAUAACGUAGAGAUCGGGGCUCUGACUGUGAAAGACCUGCAACCUGACGACAGCGGUGUGUAUUUCUGUGCUGUCAGCAAACACAGUGAUGUAAAACGUAUGAGCAGCUGAACAAAAACUGGUUGCCAAUACAUCUGCUGAGUGUGUUAGGGACCAGCUAUUGGCUUUUAUAUUGUUCCAGCAGGUGGAGCUGAAGCUCCAGAUAUACUCUCAACACAUUCAACACUGUGACAUUUAAUGAAGCUGGUGUAGAUUUAAUAGGAGGCAGCUGAUGAAGAGUCUACAGUUAACAGAGAGGCUCAGUGUUCUGUGUUCAUUCAGACGGGAGGUCAACAUGUCAACAUUAUUCUUUUUAUCUUGGAUCAUUGGUAAUCACUUUUACCAUUCAGGAAUGCCACUUUAUCCAUAGUUCCGACAUUGAUUAUUGAUUUUCCUUUUUCUAGGCGUUUGUCUGGGUCUAGAUGUCCGUCAGUCUCCCUCUGAUCUCAUCACAAAACCUGGUGACAAGGUGCAGAUGUU